rnacentral:rRNA from 1 species
GACGAACCGUGCAAACGUUAUUCGGAAUCACUGGGCGUAAAGGGUGUGUAGGCGGUUGUUUAAGUUUGGUGUGAAAUCUCCCGGCUCAACUGGGAGGGUGCGCCGAAUACUGAAUGACUUGGAGUGCGGGAGAGGAGAGUGGAAUUCCUGGUGUAGCGGUGAAAUGCGUAGAUAUCAGGAGGAACACCGGUGGUGUAGACGGCUCUCUGGACCGUAACUGACGCUGAGACACGAAAGUGUGGGGAGCGAACAGG